UGAAUAUUGAUCUCUUAAAUUUUUGAAAAAAACCGCUUCGUUUACUGGACUCUGUUUCUUACAACUUCGUGACUCGGCUAGCUAAAAGGAAUUUGUGAUUUGUGUUUAUGAUAACUUGGCGCGUAAAAAGGACUAUUAUGGCUGCAGAACAAAAUUCUUCUCGUCGUCCGUACUCUAAUGAGGAAUACGCUGACAUCUUAUUUUGCUAUGGAUAUUGUAACGGUGACGCCGCAGCUGCUCGUCGUGAGUAUAAUCGUCGAUUUCCGGAUCGCCGGACACCUGACAAUAGUGUCUUUAUUGGUGUGUAUCGUCGAAUUAGAGAAACUGGUCGCGUGCAAAGGAGACAAUCUGAUUCCCUCGUGUCUGAGCGUGAAGCUAGAAGACUAAGAUAAACGGGUCAGGAGAAUCUUCAUUAGGUUAAGUGCUAUAUGUAUCAAUCCAAUUUAUAAUGUUAAACAUCAAAACCGUCAAAGAUACCAUCUUGUAACCAGCUAAUAUAUAAUAACUUAACAAA